rnacentral:rRNA from 1 species
UACGUAGGGACCGAGCGUUGUCCGGAAUCAUUGGGCGUAAAGAGCGUGUAGGCGGCCACUUAAGUCCUGCGUGAAAUCUUGCGGCUCAACCGCAAGCGGUCGUGGGAAACUGGGUGGCUAGAGUCCGGAAGAGGCGAGUGGAAUUCCUGGUGUAGCGGUGGAAUGCGCAGAUAUCAGGAGGAACACCGAUAGCGAAGGCAGCUCGCUGGGACGGUACUGACGCUGAGGCGCGAAAGCGUGGGGAGCGAACAGG